ACCCGUUCGUGGAAAGGAACUUUGGAGACUGGGCUCCCGUGGAAGAGCUUCUCAGCGUAUGUUCUUCGUUUCAGCCGAAGACCGUGGAUAAGAGUCAAGACUGAGUGAUCGAUCUGUAAGAUUUUCUGUGAUUUAUACGAGCGUGUGUACAUUACUAUCGA